CCUACGGGAGGCAGCAGUGAGGAAUAUUGGUCAAUGGACGAGAGUCUGAACCAGCCAAGUAGCGUGAAGGAUGACUGCCCUAUGGGUUGUAAACUUCUUUUAUAUGGGAAUAAAAUGUUCCACGUGUGGGAUUUUGUAUGUACCAUAUGAAUAAGGAUCGGCUAACUCCGUGCCAGCAGCCGCGGUAAUACGGAGGAUCCGAGCGUUAUCCGGAUUUAUUGGGUUUAAAGGGAGCGUAGGUGGAUUGUUAAGUCAGUUGUGAAAGUUUGCGGCUAAACCGUAAAAUUGCAGUUGAAACUGGCAGUCUUGAGUACAGUAGAGGUGGGCGGAAUUCGUGGUGUAGCGGUGAAAUGCUUAGAUAUCACGAAGAACUCCGAUUGCGAAGGCAGUUCACUGGACUGCAACUGACACUGAGGCGCGAAAGUGUGGGUAUCAAACAGGAUUAGAUACCCUAGUAGUC
rnacentral:rRNA from 1 species